GGAAACUUAACUCUUUCCUACUGUUCUGUGCUUCAUUAAGCACUACAAACUUAGCUAUUACUCAUGCUGUGCUUCGUUAAGUGCUAAAAAAUGUAACUCUUUAUUACUUUGCUUUAAUAAGCUCUAAUAUCUGGCAACUAACGCAUAUUGUUUAGCAGCAGGGAAUUAGGCAAAAGAAUUUAUUGCUGGUGCUUCUUUCUCUGGUGAAUCAGCCAGACACCUCUCUGGGUAAGCGGGUUAACUCUUUGUGACCCGAGAGGAAGAAAAGAAAAAGAGUUAAGAUUCUGUACAGAGGCAAAUAUGCAGAGAUACAUAUAUAUCAAACAUUCAUAUACCCACACUCUGGUCAUAUAUAUCAAACAUUCAUAUACCCACACUCUGGCCAUAUAUAUCAAACAUUCAUAUACCCACACUCUGGCCAUAUAUAUCAAACAUUCAUAUACCCACACUCUGGCCAGGCUCAAUCAUCUGUCACAAUCAACUCCA
rnacentral:lncRNA from 1 species